GGCAGUCAGCUGAUCAGAACUGAUCAUUUAAUAUAUCUUCUAUAAUCUUCAGUGAAUUUACUCAUUCAACAGUUAUGUGAGAUUUAAUUCCAUGUAUUCUUGAUACUGAUCAUUGAACUGAUAAUACAAAUUUCAAUGAGAAUCUGAGCGUUUUCCCUGGACUUCAAGGUUCAGUAAAUGGAGCCAAGACUAGAGGGUUCAAAUCUCUUAAAACAGGAGGAGAAGCAUUAUCUCAUUUCUCAAAAUAGAUUGAGUGAACAAAAAGAUUUGGUUAGUGACUUAAAACUUCAUUGCACCCUAACUAUAGAUAAAGAAGAAGAUAUCUUAAAUGAAGUACCCAACCUUGAAAAACAAACCAACACUAGAGAGUCUAAGAAAGGAACAAAUGAUGAUCCAAGGAAGCUAUUAUCAGGAAUGCUGAAGGUAGAUUACGGAACUGGUAGAGCCAAGUCUCCUGUGACCGUUCAGGAAUGGGUUGCCGCUUUGCCUGAUUUACCAAUUGACAUGGAAAACGGUAUAAUAGAGACUCAAAGCAUUUUGGAAAAUGACAAUAUGAGAUUGGGGGCUGAAGCUGGUUUUUUACAGUACCGCAAUCCAGCCAAGAUGAUCUUUAACAAUCGGAGCAAAAAACCAACUGAGAAGAGAAGGAACCUAUUUACACAUUCAGAUACCUUAGCUUCUCUUAACAGCGAACAGUCUAACCUCUCAAAUUCUAGUGUGGAUUCUCUGCUCCAAGCCCGGGAGGCAGAUCCCGUUGAGGUCCUCAUAGGUUUAGGAUUCGGAGGUAAAUCAAGCACUGUCUCUAGGAUUCCAUCCAGAUUUUUUCAGUCAAAAUCCAAGGCAAACAUUGAUAUCAAUGCGUUCCUACAAAGAGAGGAAGAACAGGAGGAACGGUUUCAGUCUGGAUACUGUGGAUACAGGGGUUUAGUGGGGAAUUCAAGUAGGAGGCCAUCGGAAAUAGUUGAGAAGAUUAUAGCUACCCUAAGAGAAAGAGAGCGUGAAUUGAGACGGAGAGAUUCUACUCAAUCUUGGACGGUGUCCUCUACACCAUGUCUGCAAAAUAUUCCUGCAAGGUUUCGUUUGAUGGAUCCAAAUCGGCCAACUUUCGAAACAAUCGUGAAACAGUUAACAACAGCACCCAUACCCAGCUCCCCAAGAAAAUCUGUCGGAAAAUUUAAGAUGAUUGCUAAAUCUGUAUUGUGCCCUGAAAACCAAAACUGGAGACGCGAACACACAAAACAUACUCAUGAACGACGUAAACUACAUCUAGGGGGUAAGUGCUUUCUUGUUGACAAUGAUGGAAACGAAAUCAUUGAGGAGGAAGAAGAAAUACUAAAUGAGGAAGAUGGAGGAGGCCAACGGAAGUUAGAACAUCAAGAUUCAUUGAUGUCCUUAACCAGCACUACCAGUAUUGAAUCUGACUGGAGUGAUGAUGAGAGAGAGGAGUUAGAAAAACUUUUUGGUGUAAUGUCAGAGAAGGGGGAGGAAUAUACAAAACUUAGGCAGCUUCGUAGAUCAAGGAGGAAGUCUCGACGGACGGGAGGCUCUAGAACAGGAGGAGGAACAUCCAGCACUGCGAGCUGGGACGGAGCAAGAUUAGUUUAUUCUAGAGAGAGUUCUAUUAGUGAAAUUACAGCAUCCAUGGAUGGGGCAGCAUCAGAACUAGAAACUUCGACAAGAAACUAGAAGAAUAUUAACCAAAUAAGAAUUCGUGAAGCAAGGAUUAAGUUGAAAAGAUAUGCAAAAAACUAAUUUUGUCUCUUCGCUGAGGUGCAGCCGUUUGACGUUUAUUGGAUACAAACAAACAGGUUUGAAAUAUAUCCGUUCACCUGAUUAUUUGCAACUUUGUAUCCGAGUUGAGGAGCCUAAUCAACAAACCAAUUAACCAACGCCCCAACUAACCAAUGAACCAACUAGCCAAUUAAUAAACUAGCCAGCAAAACAUCUAAUUAUCGACGCCCCAACUAAGUUUAAACAUUUCAAACUACUAAUCUGAAACUAAAUUGACGUCAUUCAAUCUCUUCAACAGGAUACUAUCCAUGGAGACAACACCAAGGCCCCAUGCCAGGAGCGUCAGAAAUCAUGCACCAGGAAUUCUCCCUGCCUUCUACAGGGAUGUAUGAUCUGUGGCACACCAACCAACCACGUGUUAGCAAUCUGUAUGUGCACCUGAGCAACAGCAAUGCCACCCCAACCUCUCUAUGCGUUCCAAAAUGGAAUUCAGAUGAAUGAUAUCCAUGAACUGAAAGACAUAACAAAUUUGUACAUCCUAACCAUGAAAACAUACCUCCAUGAAACCCGACUAACCACCAUGAACAUCCUCAACUCCCGCCUUCCGCCAGCAGUUAACAUCAUUGACCUUCAACCAAAUACUGACCUUCAGCUUGUUGAUCCUAAAUCAACCAAACCAGAUCCUUCAAUGAAACCAGAUCCUUCAACUGUACCUGGCCCUCCAACCGAACCAGAUCCUUCAACCAAACCAAAUCCUGAUCCUUCAAUCGGAACAGAUCCCUCAACUAACCCAGAUCCUUCAACCAAACCAAAUCCGUCAACCGAACCCAAUCCUUCAAACAAACUAGAACCUUCUACCGAACCAAAUCAUUCAACCAAACCAGCUCCUCCAACCAAACUAGAUCCAUCAACCGAACCCACUUCAGCAACUGAUCCAGAUCCUCAACUAAACCAGAUCCUCCAACCAAUCCAAAUCCUUCAACCAAACCAGAUAUGUCAACUGAACCAAAUCCUUCAACCAAACCUUAUCCUUCAACUGAACCAGAUUCUUUUACUGAUCCAGAUCCUCUUACCAAUCCAGAUCCUAUCCUCCAAUCAGACCAGAUCCUCCAAUAAAAUUAGACCCUUCAACCAAGCCUGAUCCUUCAACAGAACCAAAUUCAGGAACUGAUUCAGAUCCUUCAACCAAACCAAAUCCAGAUCCUUUAACCAAACCACAUACGUCCACUGAACCAGAUCGAUCAACUGAACCCAAUCCUUCAACCAAACCAGACCCUUCAACUGACCCAGAUCCUUCUACCAAACCAAAUCCUAUGACCAAACCAGAUCCUUUGACCAAACCCGCUCUUCCAACCAAACCAUAUCCUUCAACUGAACCUGAUCCUCCUACCGUACCACAUAUGAUCUCUAACCGGAAAUAAGUGUGAGCUCUAUUGCUAGUUGUCACAGGAUGUAGAACUCGUCCUCCUGCUUUCGGGACUAGGGUCUACACCGAAUAGUGAAAUGUUUUAGAUUAAACUCCACUUAAAACCAGGUUCAUAUUUUCAGAAGUAUUUACAAAUGUUUUAAACUACUUGAUCAAACCCUUCAAUCCUUAAUCAAUCCUUAUCAUCCUGAGCUAAAUAUAAGCUAUCUAAUUAAACAUACAAUAACAUUUAUACAUUGCCAUUUACUAUAUCUGUAUUUUUGAAGGUUUGAAAUAUAUCCGUUUACCUGA
rnacentral:misc_RNA from 1 species